UCCUCGAUCUGCUGCGGGCAGAUGAAGUGGAUGUGGCUGUCGAUGCCGCCCGCCGUGACGAUCAUCCCUUCGCCCGCGAUCGCUUCGGUGCCGGCGCCGAUGGGAAUCGUGAUGCCGGGCUGGAUGUCGGGAUUUCCGGCCUUGCCGAUCUUCCAGAUGCGGCCACCCUUCAACCCGAUGUCGGCCUUGACGAUGCCCCAGUGGUCGACGAUGAGCGCGUUGGUGAUGACGGUGUCGGCCACGUCCUUCGACAGGCGCUGGCUCUGGCCCAUGCCGUCGCGGA
rnacentral:sRNA from 1 species